rnacentral:rRNA from 1 species
GACGAACGCUGGCGGCGUGCUUAACACAUGCAAGUCGAACGGAAAGGCCCCCUUGUGGGGUACUCGAGUGGCGAACGGGUGAGUAACACGUGAGUAACCUACCCUUGACUUUGGGAUAACUUCAGGAAACUGGGGCUAAUACCGGAUAGGAGCUCCUGCUGCAUGGUGGGGGUUGGAAAGUUUCGGCGGUUGGGGAUGGACUCGCGGCUUAUCAGCUUGUUGGUGGGGUAGUGGCUCACCAAGGCUUUGACGGGUAGCCGGCCUGAGAGGGUGACCGGCCACAUUGGGACUGAGAUACGGCCCAGACUCCUACGGGAGGCAGCAGUGGGGAAUAUUGCCCAAUGGGCGGAAGCCUGAUGCAGCAACGCCGCGUGCGGGAUGACGGCCUUCGGGUUGUAAACCGCUUUCGCCUGUGACGAAGCGUGAGUGACGGUAAUGGGUAAAGAAGCACCGGCUAACUACGUG